rnacentral:lncRNA from 1 species
CCUUGGUCCCAUUACCUAGCAGAGGAAAGAUGCUCCUUGAUGUAACACCUCACACCACCAAACGCUCUCAUGGGCCCCCACUCUUCAUUCAUGCACCUGCAUAAAAGUCUUCUUCAUAUUACAAAAGAAGCCAGAGCACAUCACCUUUCUGCAUGUCUGCCAUGUUCUUCAAACAGUGGGCUGGCGCCAGAUAUGUGUCACAUGGUCAAGGUAAGUGACACAGCUGCAGGCAGCCUUGCCCCAGGCCCUUCUGAGGCAGGUCCCUGUCUGCUGGCUGAGUCCUGAGCUUGGGAGGUGUGUAUCCUGUAAACAACAGUUUGGUGCUAAGGUUCCCCUUCUUUGUGGCCAUGAGACCAGACCUCUGCUCCCAUUUUAUCUCUGUUUUUCUUCAGAGCUUCCUACCACCCUUGGGCAGGGGACUGUGGGAGAUUCUCAGAGCCAUCUGCCUUGACAGCACAGAGGGAGUUAUAAGCACUCUCGUUUGGCAUCCUGUCAGCCCCAACCCACCAUGAUGACCUCAAACUGCUCGUGCCAGACCUCCUCAUGAUAGGACCUUCCC